GGCGGUGCAUGCACAUCCGGCUUUAGGUUGUCGGGACUUUAAAAAAGCGCAACGUAAACAUGGCUUCAAAGAGAGCCCUGGUCAUCCUGGCCAAAAGAGCUGAGGAGAUGGAGACAGUCACCCCCGUGGACGUCUGCACCGUGCUGGGAUUAAGGUCACCAUUACAGGUCUGGCUGGGAAAGACUCUGUACAGUGUAGCCGUGAUGUCAUCAUUUGCCCUGACACAAGUCUCUAAGAGGCAAAAAAGGAGCGCCCCUACGACCACGUGGUGGUUCUCCCCUUUGGCGCGCAGGACUGGUCGGAGUUGCCAGCCGGAAAGGAGGUCCCGAGGGAGCAGGAGGGCGGGAAGGGCCUCGUCGCCGCCAUCCCUGCAGGUCCUGCAGCUCUGCUGGCUCAUGAAAUAGGCUCUGGAAGCAAGUUACAUCACACCCACUUGCUAAAGACAAAGUGAUGAAUGGGACUCAUUACAGCUACCGUGAGAGCCGCGUGGAGAGGGACGGCCAGGGACUCCCCCGCCGCGGGCCAGGUACCAGCUUCAAGCCCACGCUGGCCAUUGUGGAGGCGCUCAGUGGCAAGGAGGUGGCACAGCAGGUGAAGGUGCCACUUGUGCUCCGGGACUAG